GCACCGGUUAUGGUAAAGAACUUAGUAAAGUUGCUCAUAAAAAAUUUGAUUAUCACAAACUAAAAUAAACAUACAAAUAAAAAAACAAGUGUUUCACUAUCUAAGUAGAAAAGCAAUCCAAAUUCUACAUAUAUGUAGCUCUGUUCGCUUUUGACAAGGAAAUGCCAGAUGAAAGAGGACCUUGGCCAUGACAGGAAACAAGGGGUGCUUCUGGGUUUCGUCAGUAAUAUUUAGGCUGCUGUUGUGGUGGGCAUCUAAACGUGGCCAGGGUGUUGUGAAUGCAGCUGCUAUGUGGAGGCAGAGCUUUGCUGUGAAGUAGGUGCUGCUGCUGGGAAUUGCAAGAUAUAAAAGGGUGCUGGCGCCUAGAAGGCAGUGCUAUUAAAGCUCAAGCUGCUGCAGAGAUGAGAAGUUUGUACUCUCCUCUCAAAAUUGCCUAGUGUCAUGACUCAUGAGCCUGUUGUGCUUACAAUACCAAAAAUCUUAAAUUCUAAACAUAUCAAAAUGACAUACAGUAUAUCGUGAAAAAAAAUGGUUGCUUAAAUGACAAAAUCUAUUUUAGCCUUUCAAGUUGUGAUCAAUGCUUGGUUGACUUGAUAGAUAUAUGUCUAAAAAAGCCAAAAUUGAGCACAACUAUAAUUUUAUUCAAAAGGCUAAAGCCGCUUACAAUGUUCAUGAAGUCAUUACAGCAUACCAAACUAUAUAACUUCCCUUCUAGACAUGAAGAUAUCAAAUCUAAUUCCUUUCAUUGAAGGUGAUACAAAAUCCCUUCCAGAAAACUGUCAGAAGCUGUAAAUUGUCAACUAAAGUGAAAAAGGAAAUCAUGUAUACUCAUCUUCUGUAAUAUAUGGUUUGGCCAGCAUACCAAACUAUAUAACACAGCAGUGGAGUAUUUCAACAAGCAGCUACGCUGGAGCUUAAACAUUAACGUCUCUUAUCUUGAUACACUUGCCAGGAAGUAUGAAUAUAUAAAUGAAAAAAUAUAUUCGAUACAUCUUACCGCUUGUAACGAGUCUAUUUGAACUUUGCACUUGUACUCUCUCUAUGCCCAAUGACAUUGACACUUUGCUACUUGCAGUCCCGUUAAGAUAUUUAGAUAGCUUAUUGUUCAAUGUAGCUUAUAGGUUCGCCUCUUGAUAUGAGAUGUGGAGACAAUGCAAAAAGAUUUAUAUGAUGUUUCUAUGAAGAAGAGUAUUAAAAAUUGACAAAUUAAGAAGAUUGGGAGUUAUUAUGCCGAAUAGGUGCAGCUUGUGUGAAUUGGAUGAAGAAGGUUCCCCUGCAUCUUUUCUUAACCUGUCCUAUUACUGACAAGGUAUAGAAAUAAUUAAGCAGGGGCGAUGUAUGUGAUAUAAGACAAUGCCUGCAGGGAUGGGCGCAGAUACAUUCAAACCGAUUGGGGAAGUGGUCGGGCAACUAGUAUCAUAUGCUAUGUCAGGAGCCCAUAUGGAAGGCAAGGAAUUACGUCACUUGCAAGAUUUUCAGCGGCAAAAUUUAGGCAAAGGGCUUUUAGUUCCAUCGCAUGAUGACAGUCAACCAAGGAAAACAUGAGAUCGAGCACCUAUAUUAAUAAGUGUAAUUGCGAGCAAUCUAUUGUUGAAACCACAACUCCAAUGGUACAAUUAAUUUCAAGUGUGUUCAAUCUAGAUUUGAAUAAAAACAAUACUUGUAUGUUCAAUAAACUAAUGACAUACAAUGAUUGAAGUUGGGAGGGAGAUAAAACCUUCAAUUUCCAAUUUGGGGGUCUGUCAGUUACAGCGAAUCCAACUUUUUCCAAAUCAAAUUUGUAAUUUAUUGAAUUAACCAAUUCUGGGAAUUGUUGUUUCGUUUACAACUGAGUAAGCAAAAGACUAAAACUGAAGCCUCCUCUUUGGGUCUCUUAAUUACAAAGACUAACUUUACACAAUCAACAAUUGAUUGAAAAGAAAUACGAAGAAGUCAUGAAGAUCUGAUCUUACCUUUUUGAAGAUGAUGAACGAUUGAACACACACGAAGAAGUAGUAGAGUUGCAGAAACUUGACUACAGUGAAGAACUCUUUAAUGGUUUCUCAGUGAAUGAAAGAGAAAGAGAGAGAGAGAGAGAGGAAGAAGAAGAAGAUUAGUUUUCGAUUUUGAUUUCGGGGAGAGAGAAAAGAGAUCUAGACGGAGAGAGGAGAAAAAGGAAAGUGGUUUCCGUAAAAUAAAAUGGUGUCCAUUUUCCAAAAUUUUAAACUAGCUUAUAAUCGCACGAAAUUUGCUUUCCAAAUGUUUUUCAUUUUCCUGUUGAACCAAACAGCUGGAAUUUC
rnacentral:lncRNA from 1 species